UACGGAGGGUGCAAGCGUUAUCCGGAAUUACUGGGUUUAAAGGGUGCGUAGGCGGCUGUGUAAGUCAGGGGUGAAAGCCUGCAGCUUAACUGUAGAAUUGCCUUUGAUACUGCAUAGCUUGAAACAGGUUGAGGUCAGCGGAAUGUGACAUGUAGCGGUGAAAUGCAUAGAGAUGUCAUAGAACACCAAUUGCGAAGGCAGCUGGCUGGGCUUAAUUUGACGAUGAGGCACGAAAGCGUGGGGAGCGAACAGG
rnacentral:rRNA from 1 species